rnacentral:lncRNA from 1 species
GAGAUGAGUGCUUGGUAGUGGACAAUGACUAGGUAAAAGUUUAAAACAAGCAGAGAGAAUGCAACUACUUUAGAGCCACUGAGGCAACAAAGAAUAACCUUAUAUUACAUUUCAUUACUGGACAUGUAUUUCAUUCCUUUGAUUGUGUCAUGGUUUCCUGAUUCUUUGUGUUUCUUGUAGCUUUGCCUUGGUGUCUGUGUUUGAAUAAAAAGUCCCCUUUCCCAGUCUUUACAAACUGGCUUUGGCAGCAUGCUGAAAGACUAGAAGAU